rnacentral:rRNA from 1 species
UACGGGAGGCAGCAGUGGGGGAUAUUGCGCAAUGGGGGCAACCCUGACGCAGCAACGCCGCGUGAAGGACGAAGGUCUUCGGAUUGUAAACUUCUUUUGUCAGGGACGAAGAAUGACGGUACCUGACGAAUAAGCUCCGGCUAACUACGUGCCAGCAGCCGCGGUAAU